AUGAUUUGUUUUCCGUUGGGGGACGCGCCGCAUAUGGGAGGUCGCGUGCGCUGCCGACAAGGCGGACUACUAGGGGAGGAGAUUCGCGAUCGGCCCGAUGCGUGCGGGGCGGGGCUGGCCGCCGGCCGCGCGGCGCUGGCCGUGGGAUCGUGGAAAGUCGCCCGGCGAGUCGGCACGUGGAAAGUCGUCUCCUGCGGCCACCGUGCGCGGUGCCUCGCCGGCCAUUCACGGCUCUGUGCCGACGGAGGGGCGUGCGGCGUGCGUUACGCGGGUUGGGCGCUGGCGAACCCUGGUCGUUCGGCACGCGCACUCCGGCGUAUGCGGCGGCGCAUCCUCCCUGUAUGCCGCUGGGUUGCCGCAUGCGCGCGACUCCGGCUGGUCACGCCUCCGCGCGCCGUGCGUGCGUACGGUACGGGCGUGCACCGUGGUUCGGAGGGGGUGCUUGCUUGUAUGGACUAUGGAGGCGGAGUUGGCGAUGGUCGUGUUUAUGUUUUGGACGGUCGCCUGCCUCGGCUCCGGCAUCGGGACCCGAUCGAGGUCGUGUUUCUCGAUCAAAGGAUCUCAUGCUCCCGAUUCAUGAAAUUACUACUCCGUGUGUAA
rnacentral:rRNA from 1 species